rnacentral:rRNA from 1 species
CUGGCGGCCUUAGCGCGGUGGUCCCACCUGACCCCAUGCCGAACUCAGAAGUGAAACGCCGUAGCGCCGAUGGUAGUGUGGGGUCUCCCCAUGCGAGAGUAGGAAACUGCCAGGC